GACGAACGCUGGCGGCGUGCUUAACACAUGCAAGUCGAACGGAAAGGCCCUGCUUUUGUGGGGUGCUCGAGUGGCGAACGGGUGAGUAACACGUGAGUAACCUGCCCUUGACUUUGGGAUAACUUCAGGAAACUGGGGCUAAUACCGGAUAGGAUCUCCUGCUGCAUGGUGGGGGUUGGAAAGUUUCGGCGGUUGGGGAUGGACUCGCGGCUUAUCAGCUUGUUGGUGGGGUAGUGGCUUACCAAGGCUUUGACGGGUAGCCGGCCUGAGAGGGUGACCGGCCACAUUGGGACUGAGAUACGGCCCAGACGCCUACGGGAGGCAGAAGUGGGGAAUAUUGCACAAUGGGCGGAAGCCUGAUGCAGCAACGCCGCGUGCGGGAUGACGGCCUUCGGGUUGUAAACCGCUUUCGCCUGUGACGAAGCGUGAGUGACGGUAAUGGGUAAAGAAGCACCGGCUAACUACGUG
rnacentral:rRNA from 1 species